rnacentral:lncRNA from 1 species
UGGCUAACUCUCUCUUAGACUUAGUAUUGGAUUCUCCUCAUGCUUGUGCAUGAAUGCAGGAUCUCCAGUUGGCAUUCUGAUGCGUACAGUAGACACAUCUUAUGAGUUGGGAGUUGACUCCUGAUGGCUUAAUGGUAUAGCCAUUACAAUUCCCUGUUGAUCAGAUCAUUGAGUCUGACUGUGGAAUUGUCUUGCAGGAGGGCUUCAUGAUGCUUGAGCUUGAUAUUGUCU